AUUGAACGCUGGCGGAAUGCCUUACACAUGCAAGUCGAACGGCAGCACGGGAGCAAUCCUGGUGGCGAGUGGCGAACGGGUGAGUAAUACAUCGGAACGUGCCCAAUCGUGGGGGAUAACGUAGCGAAAGCUACGCUAAUACCGCAUACGAUCUACGGAUGAAAGCAGGGGACUCGCAAGGGCCUUGCGCGAAUGGAGCGGCCGAUGGCAGAUUAGGUAGUUGGGGGGUAAAGGCUCACCAAGCCUUCGAUCUGUAGCUGGUCUGAGAGGACGACCAGCCACACUGGGACUGAGACACGGCCCAGACUCCUACGGGAGGCAGCAGUGGGGAAUAUUGGACAAUGGGCGCAAGCCUGAUCCAGCCACGCCGCGUGAGUGAUGAAGGCCUUAGGGUUGUAAAGCUCUUUCGCCCCACGACGAUAAUGACGGUAGUGGGAGAA
rnacentral:rRNA from 1 species